AUUGAACGCUGGCGGCAUGCUUUACACAUGCAAGUCGAACGGUAACAGGGAGCUUGCUCCGCUGACGAGUGGCGAACGGGUGAGUAAUAUAUCGGAACGUACCCAAGAGUGGGGGAUAACGUAGCGAAAGUUACGCUAAUACCGCAUACGAUCUAUGGAUGAAAGCAGGGGACCUUCGGGCCUUGUGCUCCUGGAGCGGCCGAUAUCUGAUUAGCUAGUUGGUGAGGUAAAGGCUCACCAAGGCGACGAUCAGUAGCUGGUCUGAGAGGACGACCAGCCACACUGGAACUGAGACACGGUCCAGACUCCUACGGGAGGCAGCAGUGGGGAAUUUUGGACAAUGGGCGCAAGCCUGAUCCAGCAAUGCCGCGUGAGUGAAGAAGGCCUUCGGGUUGUAAAGCUCUUUUGUCAGGGAAGAAACGGGAGUGGCUAAUAUCCAUUCCUAAUGACGGUACCUGAAGAAUAAGCACCGGCUAACUACGUGCCAGCCGCCGCAGUAAGAC
rnacentral:rRNA from 1 species